GGUCGGGGCGGAAGUUACCAAAAAUAACAUCCGGUCUCACUCCGUGGCUCUUUAGCUAACAAGCUAGCGAGACGUGCCUUUGAAAAGAAGUGGAAAAAAAGUAAGCUAUUAUUUGAAUUGAAUAAAUAAUCACCACCAUAAUUAAGCAGGAGGAGUUUAUAACGCCAGCCAAGGACAUUAAAAUGUCUAAGAGGCAGACAUGUAUUCAUGGAAAUAUGGAGAGGGUGUUGACAGCGUGAGAGUCCACUUUAGAAGGAUGCCAGUGAUGGGGAUACAAAGUACAUUUGUGAUAAUAGCCAUAGAACAGGAAAUGGAACUUCCAAUCCAGAUUUUUUUUAUCAAAUAUUAAACAACAUGCCUCAGGUCGCAAAUGGCGCAGAGGUCGGACUGUGGACAUUGCUGCUCUAAAGAUUCAACUCUGGGGAUUUUUUUCCACGCGGCUCCGGUCAGCGGCCUUUUGGGCCUCACACUGAGGUGAGCGCCGCUUUUGAUUUCCUCAAAGAAGAAGCCAAGUCGCGUGGCAAGGAAAAUCAACGAUUAAUUUCUUCACUUGAUCUGAGGCUUUGAAAUGAACUUUUGCGGAAGCCAUUGUUUGCUAGAAGAAGUUGAUCAAAGGUUUGAGCAAUGCUUUAUUUACAUGUACAGUAUACGAAAAUAAUUGCUUCGCUACACGUACUAGACUUUGAAAAAAAGUUUCUUGCCAGACAGCAAUGGACAUCAAUUUAGGUCAUACUUUUUCCCCCUUUUACAGGAAGAUACAAACCCCGUUUCCAUAGGA